UACGUAGGGGGCAAGCGUUUGUCCGGAAUCAUUGGGCGUAAAGAGCGCGUAGGCGGUCCGGUAAGUCCGCUCUGAAAGCCCGGGGGCUCAACCCCGGGAGGCGGGCGGAUACUGUCGGGCUAGAGUCCGGAAGAGGCGAGUGGAAUUCCUGGUGUAGCGGUGAAAUGCGCAGAUAUCAGGAGGAACACCGAUGGCGAAGGCAGCUCGCUGGGACGGUACUGACGCUGAGGCGCGAAAGCGUGGGGAGCAAACAGG
rnacentral:rRNA from 1 species